rnacentral:rRNA from 1 species
GACGAACGCUGGCGGCGUGCCUAAUACAUGCAAGUUGAGCGCUGAAGGUUGGUACUUGUACCAACUGGAUGAGCAGCGAACGGGUGAGUAACGCGUGGGGAAUCUGCCUUUGAGCGGGGGACAACAUUUGGAAACGAAUGCUAAUACCGCAUAAAAACUUUAAACACAAGUUUUAAGUUUGAAAGAUGCAAUUGCAUCACUCAAAGAUGAUCCCGCGUUGUAUUAGCUAGUUGGUGAGGUAAAGGCUCGCCAAGGCGAUGAUACAUAGCCGACCUGAGAGGGUGAUCGGCCACAUUGGGACUGGGACACGGCCCAAACUCCUACGGGAGGCAGCAGUAGGGAAUCUUCGGCAAUGGACGAAAGUCUGACCGAGCAACGCCGCGUGAGUGAAGAAGGUUUUCGGAUCGUAAAACUCUGUUGGUAGAGAAGAACGUUGGUGAGAGUGGAAAGCUCAUCAAGUGACGGUAACUACCCAGAAAGGGACGGCUAACUACGUG